GAAGGUAGAGCUCAGUGGUAGAGUGCGUGCUUAGCGUGCACGAGGUCCUUGGUUCAGUUCCUAGCCCCUCCA
rnacentral:tRNA from 1 species